CGGCGAGCGGCGAACGGGUGAGUAACACAUCGGAACGUACUCUAUCGUGGGGGAUAACACAUCGAAAGAUGUGCUAAUACCGCAUACGACCUGAGGGUGAAAGCGGGGGAUCGCAAGACCUCGCGCGACAGGAGCGGCCGAUGGCGGAUUAGCUAGUUGGUGAGGUAAAGGCUCACCAAGGCGACGAUCCGUAGCUGGUCUGAGAGGACGACCAGCCACACUGGGACUGAGACACGGCCCAGACUCCUACGGGAGGCAGCAGUGGGGAAUUUUGGACAAUGGGCGCAAGCCUGAUCCAGCCAUUCCGCGUGAGUGAAGAAGGCCUUCGGGUUGUAAAGCUCUUUCGGCAGGAACGAAACGGUGCAGGCUAAUAUCCUGUAUCAAUGACGGUACCUGAAGAAGAAGCACCGGCUAACUACGUGCCAGCAGCCGCGGUAAUACGUAGGGUGCGAGCGUUAAUCGGAAUUACUGGGCGUAAAGCGUGCGCAGGCGGCUUUGUAAGACAGGUGUGAAAUCCCCGGGCUUAACCUGGGAACUGCGCUUGUGACUGCAAGGCUUGAGUGUGGCAGAGGGGGGUGGAAUUCCACGUGUAGCAGUGAAAUGCGUAGAGAUGUGGAGGAACACCGAUGGCGAAGGCAGCCCCCUGGGUCAACACUGACGCUCAUGCACGAAAGCGUGGGUAGCAAACAGGAUUAGAUACCCUGGUAGUCCACGCCCUAAACGAUGCCAACUAGGUGUUGGGGAAGGAGACUUCCUUAGUACCGUAGCUAACGCGUGAAG
rnacentral:rRNA from 1 species